CAGGCCUAACACAUGCAAGUCGAACGGAGCCGCAAGGCUUAGUGGCAAACGGGUGCGUAACGCGUAAGCAACCUGCCCGCAACUGGGGGAUAGCCCGGCGAAAGCUGGGGUAAACCCGCACGGUCCAGUGGUCUCACCUGGAGUUACUGGUAAACAUUUAUGGGUUGCGGGGGGGCUUGCGUCUGAUUAGCUAGUUGGCGGGGUAAGGGCCCACCAAGGCGAUGAUCAGUAGGGGUUCUGAGAGGAUUGGCCCCCACAUGGGUACUGAGAUACGGACCCAACUCCUACGGGAGGCAGCAGUAGGGAAUAUUGGGCAAUGGGCGAGAGCCUGACCCAGCCAUGCCGCGUGCCGGAUGAAGGCGCUCAGCGUUGUAAACGGCUUUUGACUGGGAAGAACGGCAGGUUUGCGAACUUGUGUGACGGUACCAGCAGAAUAAGCACCGGCUAACUCCGUGCCAGCAGCCGCGGUAAU
rnacentral:rRNA from 1 species